AAUUCUCAUUAUUUUUUCGCCACAUCGCGUCAACUUAUUCGGGAAAAACGUCCUUUUCCCCCGUCAUGGCUUUCGAUCUCCCGCGGAUGUAAAAAGUUAAAUUGAAAAAGGAAAAAAAUUGCACAUCGAGGAAUCUGAUAAACUAUUUAAACGAUCAUUUAGUUGCAGUCCCUCAACGGACUCUGCAAAGAUGUACCGACUAAUACUCGUGUCAGUUUGCCUCUCUGCCUGCUUAGCUGCCCCCAAAUUUGAGUCGCCUGUCAACCAUCGGCGGCGUUUGGCCAAGAUGUUCAUAACCUAUGAUCCUUGCCGCGAAUACGAAAACUCCACUCCGGGUGUCGUCAACCGGGAUAUAGAGACGAAAUGUAUCGGGGCAUUUGACCUUCUGAGGAGUCUUCCAGCGAGCGAUCUCCCACUCCAUUGUCUGCCGUCCCAGAGGAUCCAAAGGCCCAGUUGCCGCAACUUUUGGGGUGAAAGAAGGUGCAUGAUCACAGCGAAACUCAUGAUCGUCGUUAAAGAACUGGGACCAUCACAUAUUCAAACCACAGAAAUGGUGAUGCCAGUGCUGCUGGCUGGCUGCGCUGAAACGAUCGGAGUCGCGCCAUCUUCCGAAAACGCACGCGUCAUGGGAGACCUCUUCAAGAAUCGGCCUCCUCCAGGGGAAGUGUGGACGACUGCAGAAUUUUCGCGCUCAGUGACGAUAACCAAAGAUCCCGACGCUCCUGAUGCAGAGAACCCCUAUCUCCCGAGCGAUCCCUCGACACCAAAAUCGCCAAAAAAAUCUCCACCCAGAUCACCGAAAUCGUCGCCAAGAUCGUCACCGAGAUCAUUCAAACAAAACUGAGGCGCAGAAACGGCUUCUAGGACCAAAACCCAAGGACAAUGGAGACUCGACAUCAUCGGACUUUUUCCUCUCUUUUUCCACGAUGGAUUUUGCACGCAAUUAGAAAUUCUCAUUACGUAUCGCUCAUUCUACGUGACAUCGAGUAAAAAGAGUAAAUGCUAUAUUUGAUUGACGCAGUAAAACGCAUUGUGACUCAUCCAAGCAUUUUUCACCCCAUAAUGGACCACUAGACAAGGUACGAAUUUUAGCAUUCUGAUACAUGUUUCUUGACCGAAAUUUCACGUAGAACACGAUACGCACAACGAAAAUUACCGAAAUCAACUUCUUACGAAGAUAUUUGGACGUAUUUCUAUCAAACAGAACUGUGAGCAGGUGAGAAAUAUGGGGUGUGCUCUGGAAAUCUGCAUAAGAUACAAUGUAAAAGAGGGCGUGGUUCCUUUUGAAGAAUUGGAAAAGCGGGAUAUUACAUUCUAUCAAACAGAACUAUGUGCCAACUGAAUGCGAGAUUCAUGAGCCGCGAGGAUGGGACGAGAGCGUUGUGGACAGGGCUCAUGAGUUAAAGCGCCCCGACGACGACGGUGACGUUGCGCCCCGGCUUCUUCAUUGCCGCUGACGUCA
rnacentral:lncRNA from 1 species